AUUAAACAAGUGAUUAGCACUCUCUAAUGUAUGAUUUCUUGAUGUUUUCUCUCGAAGUUUAGAUUCCAAGCUUUAAUUUGAACAAGAACGGGCUGGAUUUUCAUUGUCCCUUCUGAACAGUUUCGGCCUCGUCUCGUUGAUCGGCUUCAUCUCUGUAUCUUUUCCGGCAGCAUUGCGAUUUGCAACUCAAUUUUCAGGAUUAAGAACUUGAGGACUGAUUGUCAACGGUUGGUCUUGACUUUCGAUCGAUUCUUGGUCUAAACAAUGGCCUUAACCAUCUCCGAAUCUUCCGUCAAGUCUAAACAAUGCCUCCGCAGCGUUUCUUUAAUGUAUUUCUCCAUGUGCCGGUUCCUGCUCUCCCUAAUUCUCUCUCUCUGCUUCGUCAAGCUUCUUGCUGAAUUUGUGAAUGCAGGUGCUAAAGGCUCUUUGAUUUGGCCCAUCAUGCUGAUUUCUAUAUACAAUAAGAGCUCAACUCCCACAUAUGAUUUGCAGCUGCUUUCGUUCUAAUAAGCACUAAUGAUUAUGGAACAGUUGAGAUGCUGCCUCCUUCAGAUCUCUGUUGCUUUAGCUGUUUCAUUUCUGGUUACUGCACAGGAUCAGUCAGGAUUCAUUAGCAUUGACUGUGGAAAUUCAAAGGAUUCAAGCUACACAGACAGUGUAACAGGCAUCAAGUAUAUUUCUGAUGCAAACUUCACAGAAACUGGAGUAAGUAGGAGCAUAUCAUCAGAUUUCAACUCGUCCACUCUUCCACAGCAAUUCUGGUAUGUUAGAAGCUUUCCUGAAGGGGAGAGGAACUGCUACACCAUAAAGCUUGCUCAAGGUAAAGGUUUCAAGUAUUUGAUCAGAGCGAGUUUCAUGUACGGAAACUAUGAUGGCAAAGGUAAUGCGCCGGUUUUUGAUCUGUACAUGGGAAUUAAUAAAUGGGAUUCAGUAGUAUUGAGCAAUGAAUCCAGUAUCACAAACAAAGAAGUUGUACAUGCACUUCCUACAUCUUCCGUAAGCAUAUGCCUGGUGAAUACUGGCUUUGGAUCACCUUUUAUAUCAGCAUUGGAGUUUAGACUUUUGAAAAAUUCUAGCUAUGUUACCGAUUUCGAAUUGUUAGCUCUCCAUAGACGGUUGGAUGUAGGAUCGAUUACCAACGAAACUGUUCGGUACCAAGACGAUUUUUGUGAUCGGAUUUGGAGGCCCUAUAACUUUCCUAGUUACAAAAUUAUAAGCACAUCAUCCACAGUUGAUUCAGAAAUCAGCAACAGUUAUAAUUUACCAAGAAUUGUAAUGAGCACUGCUAUCACAACCGAUAAUGCCAGUGCUCCUCUAGAAUUUCACUGGGUUCCUGGAGAUCCCAAUGCCAAAUUUCACUUAUUCUUGCACUUUGCUGAUUUGGAAAAGCUCCAAGCCAACCAAUCGAGGGAAUUUAACAUCUUUCAAAAUGAAAAUCAUCUUCAUGGACCUUUUUCUCCUGAUUACUUGCAGUCAACUACAUUGUUUACCACAAACCCAAUGAGUGGAGAAUCUAUUGAUUUUAAAUUUGUAAGAACAAAUACAUCAAAUCUUCCACCCAUCCUCAAUGCUCUUGAAAUCUACACGGUGCUAGAUACAUCACAAUCGCACACUGAUGAGCAAGACGUUAAAGCUCUGACGAGCGUGAAAUCAUUUUAUGGAGUGAGAAAGAAUUGGCAGGGUGAUCCAUGCCUGCCAGAAUCCUUCGUGUGGCACGGUCUUAGUUGUAGCUAUGAUGAGACUCCUAAUAGAAUCACCUCCUUGAACUUAUCUUCAAGUGGGUUGGUGGGGGAAAUAGUUACUUCUAUAUCCGAGCUCAGGUCAUUACAAUAUUUGGAUUUAUCAAACAAUAACUUGAGUGGACCAGUGCCUAGUAUGCUAUCCGAGUUGCACUCCUUGAAAGUUUUAGACUUGAGGAACAACCCACUUCUUGGUUCUAUACCAAGCGAACUCAUGGAGAAAUCGAAGAAUGGAUCGCUUACAUUAAGGGUUGGAGGAAAUGCCGAUGUUUGUGCUUCAUCUUCUUGCCAAAAGAAGAAACAGAGUUACGUUGUUCCAAUUGUAGCAACAGUUUCAUUGUUGCUGGUCCUCUUAGCUGCAAUAGUCGUCUGGAUUAUAAUAUGGAAAAAACGAGCCCGAAAACAGCCCAUCAUAAGACUUGGAUCGCUAGAGCCAAAAAAACAGCGGCUAUCUUACUCGCAAAUACAACGUAUGACAAACAACUUUGAGACGAAAAUCGGGGAAGGAGGAUUUGCAAAAGUAUUCCUUGGUUACUUGGACAAUACUCAAGUUGCCGUGAAGGUCCUUAAGUCUUCUGUUCAAGGUUAUAAAGAGUUUGAAACAGAGGUCAAACUUUUGCUGAGAAUUCAUCAUACAAACUUGGCAAGCCUUGUUGGAUUCUGCUAUGAAAAGACCAAUCUGGUUCUUAUCUAUGAGUACAUAAAUAAUGGCAACUUAAAAGAGCAUCUAUUAGGUGGAAAUGUUAGAGUUCUCAGUUGGGAGGAAAGGAUGCAAAUAGCGGUCGAUGCAGCACAAGGAUUGGAGUAUCUGCAUCAUGGUUGUAAGCCACCAAUUGUUCACAGAGAUGUGAAGUCUGCAAACAUCCUUUUGAAUAAAAAAUUCCAAGCCAAAAUUGCUGAUUUUGGUCUAUCCAGGAGUUUCCCGACCGAAAGUCGUACUCAUUUGACCACAGUUGUUGCAGGCACCGACGGUUAUCUCGAUCCAGAGUAUUAUGCAACUGGCUGGCUGACCGAAAAAAGCGACGUUUACAGUUUUGGAGUUCUUAUAUUGGAAAUAAUCACUUCCCUUCCAGUCCUUCAAAUUGAUAGAGCUUCUUCAAAGAGAUAUCAUGUAAGCCAAUGGGUUAUGAACUUGAUGAAAACAGGUGAUAUAAAGAGCAUCGUUGAUCAAAGGCUAAGAGGAAACUUCGACUUGAGUUCUGCCUGGAAGGCUGUGGAGAUUGCCAUGACAUGUUUGUCACUGGAUUCUACAGAGAGACCAGGCAUGAAGGAGGUGGUAAGGGAGUUGAGUGAGUGUUUGACGUUAGAGAGAGCUCGGAAAAGAAGGAACGUCGAUUUUGAUACUGGAAAAUCAAAUACAGUUACUAGAAAUUUCAGAGAGAGCGAAGUAACACCUCGUGCUAGGUAGCUUCUACUGCUAUAUAUGUUCAAAACAUUCUAUUGCAAACAAUCAAGAGCGAGCCCGGUCGAGUCGGGUUGGCAGAACCUCAAUAUGUUAUGUCGAGAGGGUAGAAGAAACAACAAUGUCAAUGCUUUUGAUUUGGCUUUGAAAUAAAAGCAUCCACCCGGGAAGAGAUGAAAGUUCAACUUGGCUAUGGAAUCAAGGGCAUUGCGUAAGGCUGAACGAAGCUGGUUAUGCAGUGCUUCACUGGAUAAUGCUACUUGCCUUUUUGACCAGGAUUCGUUAGCAUUGACUGUGGAAAUUCAAAGGAUUCAAGCUACACAGACAGUGUAACAGGCAUAAAGUACAUUUCUGAUGCAAACUUCAC